rnacentral:rRNA from 1 species
UACGGGGAGGGCAAGCGUUGUUCGGAAUUACUGGGCGUAAAGGGCUUGUAGGUGGCCAACUAAGUCAGACGUGAAAUCCCUCGGCUUAACCGGGGAACUGCGUCUGAUACUGGAUGGCUGGAGUGUGGGAGAGGGAUGCGGAAUUCCAGGUGUAGCGGUGAAAUGCGUAGAUAUCUGGAGGAACACCGGUGGCGAAGGCGGCAUCCUGGACCAUUACUGACACUGAAAAGCGAAAGUCAGGGGAGCAAACGGG